GAGAACUGUCAGCAUGAUGAGGAGAGUGGAAGUCAAGUCCCACAGGUGACCCAGAACACACAGCUAGGAGGCUGCAAGGGUGAGGUCGUUAUUGAUUCAUUGAUUCAACAUGUAUUUUGGAGCCCCUGCAAUAUACCACUCUCCAUGCCAGGCCCUAAGAAGAAGACAGAUGAGGCUUUUGCACUUGUACUCCAGCAUAGCAAACAGGUGAUAAGAAAAC
rnacentral:lncRNA from 10 species